rnacentral:lncRNA from 1 species
ACAAAUUAGGUCACAUUUAUUUCUUCCAAGAAGCAGCAGCCGCCCACCCUCAGUCCCUAAUAUCCCAUGGCCAUUUUCAGCAAAGCUCCAAAGUUUUUCAAACCCAAGUCAGUAAUGUUUCACCAUUUUCGUGCAAACUUUGAUAACUCUAUAUGCUCCUCUCCAGCGCCCUCCUCUCCCAUCUCUGUCACAAGAUUUGGUCAAGCAUAAGAGGCUAAAGAACUCUUAAGUUAAUCAGAUUCUUUCUGCACUUUUCAGAGGUUUGACUCUCAAACGGCUACAAUUCAAAGAUUGAAGCAGACCCCGUGAACCCCUUUCUUUUGAAUUUCAAAUCCCUCUUAGAAACCGAACCCUAGAUUGAUUUCGCCUAUAAAUAAUCCUAAAUCCUUCAGCAAAAACCAAUCUUGAACACUGUGAAAAGUAAUCUCUCAACUCAACUGAAUCUUCCAAUCUUAAUCUUUGUUUUAGUAAAAUCUUGUAUUGUGGAGUAGAUGUGGAGUCUACCGCAAGACUCGAUGCUACUCCAUGGAAGGAGUUCUACUGCAAGACUCGAUGCUACUGCUAGACAUUGAACACGCACCCCCUCCUUAUUGUCUCUUCUGUUCCUAAAGUAUAUUUAGGCUCUCGGAAAAAGAGAGGAGAAGAAGAGAUGAAAAAUAGUGGCUGCACAUCUUUACUUGUGCUGUCAAUUAACUAACCUAUUUUUGUCUGUCUUAUUUAAUAAAUUACUUACUUGAUCUUGUUCUGGUUAAAGUUCAGGUUUGUUUGGUUGUAUUGAAUAACAUUGUUAGGCC